GUGGGGAAUCUUCCGCAAUGGACGAAAGUCUGACGGAGCAACGCCGCGUGAGUGAUGAAGGUCUUCGGAUUGUAAAGCUCUGUUAAUCGGGACGAAAGAGCCUAGUGUGAAUAAUGCUAGGAAGUGACGGUACCGGAAUAGAAAGCCACGGCUAACUACGUGCCAGCAGCCGCGGUAAUACGUAGGUGGCAAGCGUUGUCCGGAAUUAUUGGGCGUAAAGCGCGCGCAGGCGGAUCUGCCAGUCUGUCUUAAAAGUUCGGGGCUUAACCCCGUGAUGUGAUGGAAACUACAGAUCUAGAGUAUCGGAGAGGAAAGUGGAAUUCCUAGUGUAGCGGUGAAAUGCGUAGAUAUUAGGAAGAACACCAGUGGCGAAGGCGACUUUCUGGACGAAAACUGACGCUGAGGCGCGAAAGCCAGGGGAGCGAACGGGAUUAGAUAACCUUGUAGUCC
rnacentral:rRNA from 1 species